AUUAUUGGGCGUAAAGAGCUCGUAGGCGGUUUGUCGCGUCUGCUGUGAAAACCCGAGGCUCAACCUCGGCCUGCAGUGGGUACGGGCAGACUAGAGUGCGGUAGGGGAGAUUGGAAUUCCUGGUGUAGCGGUGGAAUGCGCAGAUAUCAGGAGGAACACCAAUGGCGAAGGCAGAUCUCUGGGCCGUAACUGACGCUGAGGAGCGAAAGCAUGGGGAGCGAACAGGAUUAGAUACCCUGGUAGUCCAUGCCGUAAACGUUGGGAACUAGAUGUGGGGACCAUUCCACGGUCUCCGUGUCGCAGCUAACGCAUUAAGUUCCCCGCCUGGGGAGUACGCCCGCAAGGCUAAAACUCAAAGGAAUUGACGGGGGCCCGCACAAGCGGCGGAGCAUGCGGAUUAAUUCGAUGCAACGCGAAGAACCUUACCAAGGCUUGACAUAUACCGGAAACGGCUGGAACAGUCGCCCCGCAAGGUCGGUAUACAGGUGGUGCAUGGUUGUCGUCAGCUCGUGUCGUGAGAUGUUGGGUUAAGUCCCGCAACGAGCGCAACCCUCGUCCUAUGUUGCCAGCACGUAAUGGUGGGAACUCAUGGGAUACUGCCGGGGUCAACUCGGAGGAAGGUGGGGAUGACGUCAAAUCAUCAUGCCCCUUAUGUCUUGGGCUUCACGCAUGCUACAAUGGCCGGUACAAAGGGCUGCGAUACCGCAAGGUGGAGCGAAUCCCAAAAAGCCGGUCUCAGUUCGGAUUGAGGUCUGCAACUCGACCUCAUGAAGUCGGAGUCGCUAGUAAUCGCAGAUCAGCAACGCUGCGGUGAAUACGUUCCCGGGCCUUGUACACACCGC
rnacentral:rRNA from 1 species